rnacentral:lncRNA from 1 species
CAACUUAGCAAGCUCUGAGCUUAUGAGAGACCCUAUCUCAAAAACAAAAUCAAACCCCAAGGUGAAUUGCUUCCGAGAAACAACACCACAAUUGUCCUCUGACCUCAAUACAUGUGAACAAACAUGUAACAUUACACACAACCACAUAUUCACAUGUACCCACAGACACACAUAUACAAGACAACUACCAAUAACAAACAAAUAAAAAAUAAUCAACAGCUCUCUGUGAGCAUUAUUAGGAAGCUAAAUACUUGGGGUGGCUACUGGCCCUGGAUGCAUUCUGCUUACGUAUCUAACAUUGUCUGGGUGGUUUCUAUACACAGAGAGGUGGAAAGAAUGUAAGACCCAGAGAAUGAGGAGUGCUGUGAAAUGCUGUCUCUGGGGCAUGACAUGGCCAUUGCAUCCAUGAGCUCCUUGCAGCUGUAACUGCCUGCACAAGAUCAAGUCAGCAUUCCAACAGCUAUGGCCUGGCAGCAUAAAGACUAUAACAGUGACAAAUUCAAGAAGAGGAGGAAGAGGAAGAAAAAGAAGAGGAGGCAGAGAAAGAAAGGAGGAAGAAGAGGAAGAGGAAGAAAAGGUAGAAAGGAGAAGGGGACUCACUACAGCAGCCACCUUCUGAGUCAGCUCCUCCAGGGACGCAAGCUGAAACCCAGGUGUCUUCUAGCUGAGCGGUUGAACGCUGGCUGGGGUGGGGUGGGGGAGGCACACGACACGAACGGUCGGACGGACAGACACGCAGGUGUUCCUGCGACCAGCUCUGUGCUGUGUCCAGUGUGAGCAAAUGAAGGUCUAUAGGCAGAGAGGGGUAGGUGUCCAGUGAACUUAGUCUUUCCUUGAUGGUACAAAAGUGUUCUAAGCGGUAUAGAAGCACAGAUUUAUCUUCUGUUACUAGGAUGACAAUCAUAAUAAUAGUCAAAAUAUGAAGGGGUAGGCAGAC